UUCCUACGGGAGGCAGCAGUGGGGAAUAUUGCACAAUGGGGGAAACCCUGAUGCAGCGACGCCGCGUGAGCGAUGAAGUAUUUCGGUAUGUAAAGCUCUAUCAGCAGGGAAGAAAAUGACGGUACCUGACUAAGAGGCCCCGGCUAACUACGUGCCAGCAGCCGCGGUAAUACGUAGGGGGCAAGCGUUAUCCGGAUUUACUGGGUGUAAAGGGGGCGCAGACGGCAAUGCAAGCCAGGAGUGAAAGCCCGGGGCCCAACCCCGGGACUGCUCUUGGAACUGCAUGGCUGGAGUACAGGAGGGGG
rnacentral:rRNA from 1 species